GAUCCUGAGAGUGUCUUUGUGCUUGAAGCUGCAGGAGGUAAAGGGAAGGUAAGGGAAGCCUGACACUGUCAACUUUAUAGUUGGGGACCAGGGCACUCAAUGUCCUACGGCCUCAAGGGGAGCAUAAUGGUCCAGAGGCCUGAACCCCUAGGAAGAUAGAAUUCUCAAAAGAGCUAGGCCCCGCUGCUCCCAAGGGCCACCUAGAGAUAAACUCCUCCUUUACCUCCCCCCAACAAACCUGACAUAGGCAGGUCUCAUUUACCUCCCUUACGCAUCUAGCCCCACCCCUUCCUUGGCUUCCUUAUAGCCUCCAUAGUUUUGUGCCUGAUGCAAAAUUUAAAAAAAGAGUAGAGAGAAGAUCUAAGGGGAGAUAGAUGCAGAGUCCCCAGACUCACAGAAAAAGUCCCCUUGGUGCCACAGACGAAAAGACUGGGGAACAGAGAGGAGGACAAAUUCUGGACCUGAAAGGGGCCUUUUUCUAAUAUCCAACUUCUUAAACUUACUCUCAGCUCAGUCUUCCUCUACCUCCAGGCUCUCUGUAAGCAGGAGAACCCAGAAUUUGGGAGUAGAAAAUAGGAUCUCAAGCUUUCCUCGGGAGAGUUGAGAUGACAAAGCAGCAGCCAAAAGACACAUGCUUGGGGUCCGAGCACCAGGAGCAAGCCAGGAUGCAAUUUCUGUCACCUUCCAUCAUGACCAUCACCUCUGCUGCCCUCAGGACAAGGAUUUUGAAGGAUAAUCAAAUGACCAUCCAUCUGCUCCAUCAGAAUGUCAAGACAGCUAGAGGAAAAUCUCCAUCAAUUUUGGUGGCCCUUCUUUGGAAGACAUGAACAAAAGUCACCUGAAAUAAGAAGACAAAACAGACUGAGUUGUACCAUUAAAAGGAGAACCCACAACAGGGAAGCUACAGAUACAAUGAAGCAUCAAAACAUUGUCUUCUAUAUAUGAUAUGAAAAUAUUGGGAACAGUAAACUAUGGCCUGGAAUCAUGGGAAAGAGGGAGAUGGGGAGCAUAGUUCUCAAUUCUAAAAUAUUCAGCAAUUAUAUCCUUCUCUGAGAGUUAUGAAACAGAACCACAUAACCAAACUAGUGGAAGAAACCCUUUCUCAGAAAGUUUCUAAGUUUUUUUUUCUGUUGUUAAUCUGAAAAGCUUAAUAGUAUGCAUAAUUGUUAGUAUAAUGCUUGAAAACUAAGCAUACAUGAUAAACAAAUCACAUAAAUUAC